rnacentral:rRNA from 1 species
GGUAAACGGCGGCCGUAACUAUAACGGUCCUAAGGUAGCGAAAUUCCUUGUCGGGUAAGUUCCGACCUGCACGAAUGGCGUAACGACUUCCCCGCUGUCUCCAACAUCGACUCAGCGAAAUUGAAUUGCCUGUCAAGAUGCAGGCUUCCCGCGGUUAGACGGAAAGACCCCAUGCACCUUUACUACAACUUCGCACUGGCAUCAGGAUUGCGAUGUGCAGGAUAGGCGGUAGGCUUUGAAGCGGGGACGCUAGUCCUCGUGGAGCCAUCCUUGAGAUACCGCCCUUCGCACUCUUGAUGUCUAACCGCGGUCCGUUAUCCGGAUCCGGGACCCUGCGUGGCGGGUAGUUUGACUGGGGCGGUCGCCUCCCAAACAGUAACGGAGGCGCGCAAAGGUUCGCUCAGGCUGAUUGGAAACCAGCCGAAGAGUGUAAAGGCAGAAGCGAGCUUGACUGCGAGACUGACAGGUCGAGCAGGUGCGAAAGCAGGCCUUAGUGAUCCGGUGGUUCCGCAUGGAAGGGCCAUCGCUCAACGGAUAAAAGGUACUCCGGGGAUAACAGGCUGAU